rnacentral:lncRNA from 1 species
CUCGGCAUAUGGAAGUUCCCAGGCUAGGGAACUACAGCUGCCGGCCUACGCCACAGUCACAGCAACACGAGAUUGGAGCUGGGUCUUUGACCCACACCACAGCUCACAGCAAUGAUGGAUCCUUAACCCACUGAGCAAUGUCAGGGAUCGAACCCACAUCCUCACGGAUACUAGACAGAUUUGUUUCUGCUGUGCCCUAAGGGGAACUCCAAGACAGGAAAUCUUUAAUCCAGUUGGUACAUUUGAUUUCAGUAUGAAGUAGGGAUUAACUCCCCUUUCCAAGGCAUCCCUUCUUCUAUAUGUGCUUGAGCCUGUGUGAGUUCUUUCUCAGGUUCCUUUGGUUUAUCAUCACAUCGCAGUCACUUGCUGUGGUUUUACUCAAUGCUUUAACAUCUUUUUCAAAACUUUUUUUAAAAGUUUUAUUGAAGUAUAGUUGAUUUACAAGGUUGUGAUAACUUCUGUUGUACAACAAAGUGAUUCAGUCACACAGGUACACACAUCCAAUCUCUUUCAGAUUCCCUUCCCACACAGAUUGGCACAGAAUAUUGCAUAGAGUUCCCUGUGCCAUACAGCAGGUCCCCGCUGGCCAAUCAUUCCAUACACCUCAGUGUGCAUGACUUUGGUUUUUUGCUUUUUUACGGCUGCACCCACGGCAUAUGAAAGUUCCCAGGCUAGGGGUUGAAUUGGAGCUGCUGGCCUACACCACAGCCACAGCCACAGGAUCUGAGCCAUGUCUGUGACCUACACCACAGCUCACAGCAACGCCGGAUCCUUAACCCACUGAUCGAGGCCAGGAAUCGAAUCCGAAUUCUCAUGGAUACUGGUCAGGUUCGUUACCGCUGAGCCACAGUGGGAACUCCUGCGUGCAUAACUUUCCAUUUGAAAUUAAUUUUCUCUCAUGAUAUAAUUUCCCGUUUAGUUUGAAUCUGAUGUAUCUAUAAUCUGAACUUGCAUUUCAACUAUGCUUGGCUGUCUACCUACUCAAAAACUGGUAUCUUUAAACACAUGCUUCCGAGGUGGCAUUUCAUCUGUGGUAGGGACAUGCACUGUCCUGGUCACCUCGUUAAUCUGGUAGGAACAUGCACACAGCACCUCAGAUAUAAGUGUCGGCCCUCAAAAGUUAGAGGUGUUAUUAAAAUUCAUGGAACAUGGAGAAUACACUCUAACCUUCUUAUAGAGUCAGAAAGUAGUCUAGGUUUCCAUAGCAUCCUAGGGUCAGUAUUUGCCCCUCAAUUGAAGUAACUCAGUACCUCAAGCUCUUUGCCAGUACAAUACGGUGGCUGGAGUCCUGGUGUCCCGUAGCCUGCUCUACUAUUUUAAGAUUAUCACACUUCCUUGCCCAGAAUGCAGCUGGACCCCUAACUUUUGCUUUGUUUUUUUUUGGCCGCUCUCCCAACAUUUUGAAGUUCCCAGGUCAGGGAUCAAACCCGUGUCACAGUCACAACCUGCGCCACAGCUAUGGCAAUCCUUAACCCACUGCUCCACAAGGGGACUUCCUAGACCCCUAACUUUGUCGGGGGUGAUAAGACCUACCUCAUAUAAGAGAGAGAAAUUCACUAAAAAUUGACCAAAGAUCUCAAAUGUAAGAGCUAAAACUCUAAACCUCUCAGAAGAGAGCAUAAGCAUAAAUUUUCAUGACCUAAGAUAAGGAAUGGUUUUUUAGAUAAAGUACAAAUGACAAAAGAAUAAAUCAUCAAUGUUCAAAACUUCUGUGCCUCAGAGGAUACUAUCAAGAAAAUGAAAAGAUAACCCAUGGAAUGGGAGAAAAUAUUUGCAAAUCAUAAGUCUAAGAAAAAGUAUCCAGAAUACAUAAAAUUCCCAUAACUCAAUAAAAAUGGACAAAUAAUCCAAUUUUCAAAGGUCAAAAGUUUAGGUAGACAAGAAGGGAUGCCAAUGGCCAAGAGCACAUAAAAAGAUACUGAACAGUAUUAACCAUGAAGAAAAUGCAAAUAAAAACCAUAAUGAGAUACCAUUUCACACCCACUAAGAUGACUAUAAUCAAAAGGACAGGCGAUAACAAGUGUUGGCGAGGAUGUAGAGAAAUUGGAAUCCUCGGAGGCUGACUGCUACUAGCAAUGCAAAAUGGUGGACCCACUUUGGAAAACAGACUGGUAGUUCCUCACAUGUUUAAACACAGAGUUACGGAGUUCCUUUCAUGGCUCAGCGGUUAACGAACUCGACCAGGAUCCAUGAGGAUACGGGUUUGAUCCCUGGCCUCGCUCAGUGGGUUAAUGAUGCAGCAUUGCGGUGAGCUGUGGCAUAGGUACAGACAUGGCUUGGAUCCUGCUUUGCUGUGGCUGUGGUGUAGGCAGGCAGCUAAAGCUCUGAUUCAACCCCUAGCCUGGGAGCUUCCAAAAAGCAAAUAAAAAUAAACACAGAGUUACCAUAUGACCAAACCACUCCACUCUGACAAAGAUACCCAAGGUAAUUAAAAACAUACUCACAAAAACUUACACAUAAACAUAGGUACUCAUUGUUCAUAAUAGUCAGAAAGUGCAAACAAUCCAAAUGUCCAUCAGCUGAAGAAUGGAUACACAAUAUCUGGACUAUCCCUCCGAUGGAAUACUAUUCAGCCAUAAAAAGGAAUGUAUACCAAUUCAUACUGCAAUAUGAAUAAACCUUGAAAACGUUAUGCUAAAUGAAAGAAGCCCAUAACAAAAGGCCGUAUGUUGCAUGGCUCCGUUUAUACAAAAUGUCCAGAAUAGGCAACUCCAGAGAGAAAGAAAGCAGCUAAGUGGUUAGAAGGAGGGGAUAAGAGGGUGACUGUCUGUAUGGAUUAAGGUUUCUUUGGGUCUGGAAUUAGAGAGUGGUAAUGGUCCCACAACUCUGUGAAUAUACGAAAACCACUGAAUCGUUCACUUUUCAAAACAGGUGAAUGUUAUGGUACAAAAUGAUAUCAAUAAAAUACAUAGAGUCCCCCCCCCCUUUUUUUCUAGGCGUCACCUAUGGCAUCUUGGAAGUUCCCGGACUAGAGGUUGAAUCAGAGCUGCAGUUGCAGUCUGCACCACAGCCACAGCAACACUGGAUCUGAGCCGCAUGUGCAACUGACACUGCAGCUUGCAGCAACUCCAGAUCCUUAACCCACUGAGCGAUGCCAGGGUUCGAACUUGCAUCCUCAUGGACACUACCUUGGCUUCUUAAUCUACUGAACCACAACAGGAACUUCAGGGUUUAUUUUUAAGCCAUUAAAGGAAUGAAAGAAAAAAAUGAUCUUGAACAAUAUUUCUCGAAAUAAGCCUGAAUCUUUACAUUCAACUGGCAUGCUCCAAACAAUGGUCCCUAAUCCCAAACGCCUGUUGGAAUCACCCGGAGAACUUUUAAAAACACACAGACGCUUGGACCUGCUUCCCAGAGGUUGUGAUUUAAUUGGUCUGGGGUGGGGCUUGGGCAUGAGUGUUUUUCAAAAGCUCCCCAGUUGAUUCUAAUGAGCAGACAGAGCUGAGAACUGGCUGCCCUAGAAUUUGAGCUUUCACAAGAGUCCCUGGUGUUGGUUUAGAUAUCCGUUAUUUCAUCCUUUCUCAUAAACAUGAGACAACCAAAAUUUUAAAUGGCUCACAGUUUCUGGUUGUUGAACUGGAAUUUUAUUUGAUUGUCUCUUCUAUAUUUCUUUUUUUUUUUUUUUUUUUUUUAAGAUCAGCAGGUUGCCAUUUUACAGACAGCAUCAAGUACAAAAUGGUUAAGACACACAGUGAGGUCACCAUCCUGAGCAGGGGUGAGGAUCGAAUUACAGUGGCGUCCUUGGGAACCUAACUUCUUUCUUUUUCUAGUUGCUCCAAUUGAAGCCUUAGGAACAUCCCUUGGCACGGGUGUCUCUGGCACAGGAGGCAGAGAGGUGGAUGGAGCCUCGGUCUGGGAAAACUGCAGACUCUCACAUCCACCAGCUUCACCUUCGGAUUUGGUAAAAAUGGAGCCACUGCUCUCCCUCCCCCAACAAGAAACCAGUUUUGCUUACAAGGCUGGAAAGAUGAGGAUAUUUCACCUCCUCACUUCAGGUAAGCUACCCCUAAGUGCUCAUCUGCCUAGGACACUGCUUGUCUGAUUUUCAUUAUUUUCCCCUAAGCUGCUGAAAACCAGGUCGGGUCUGUGUGAGGUUCCACGUUCCCUUCGGAGCCCCAAAGCUGUUUCCAACUGGCAAAGUCAAGGCCAGUGAGUGUUGUUCAUUCAUCUACUUGUGGAGGCUGUCCAGGCCCCCACCCAGCCCCUGCCCACGGCAAAUUCUUCCCCAUCGGAGGACCCACCAGACCCCGGAGACCAGGAGCGAGGGGGUGGUCUCCUCCUCUCCCUGGGCUCUGCUCGGCGCUUCUGGCCCCUCAACGGGGAGGAACGAGCACACAGUGGUUGUCUGGGUUCUGAUUUGGUUCAAGAACCUCGCGAUGAUCUUCUGUGAAGUUCCUGGCUCUUCUACCCUGCUUUCUCUCUCAUUCAGCUGUUUUAUAAAAUUGAAUUCUAAUAUGGGUUUCUUCACAAUGUCGCCUUUGACCAAAAGCUAAUAAAACUCCGAACGGAAAAUUCAGAAGUAAUGGAGAUGCCACGUGACUGUAACCUAAGGUUGUUGGUCAACUUGAUUGGGUUUUGGAGCUUGUACACCAUCUGGGGGCUUCAGCCCCACCCCCUCUCCUUUGUACCAAUAAAGGAGGGCUUUGUCUUUCCUCCACCGGACGUGAGGCCUGAACCUUUCUGAGGAGUCCUGGAGACAGACAGCUUUGCAAAGACUCAGGACCAUGGCACGCCUCUCUCGAUGCCUGCGCCACCACCAGGACUCUGGGCAGAGGCACUCUGCCCUGCUCCUCCGAGCAGCUGCCUCCUCCACAAGAGC